rnacentral:snRNA from 1 species
AUACUCUGGUUUCUCUUCAGAUCACGUAAAUCUUUUGCCUUUUAAGGAAGAU